AACACCUCUAAUAGUGCAGCAUUCCCUCAGUACUGCACUGGAGUCUCAGCCUAGAUUUAUGUGCGUAAGUCUGUUGAGUGGGAAUUGAAUUCACAAUCUCUGACUUACAGAAAUCUUUUUUCAAGUCAUUAUUCCACAGCCAAGGACAGGAGGAACUAAUCAGCCUUUGCCAAUAUUUAUCCAUAAGCAGAGAACAAGAACUGGUUGAUGCUUCUUUCAACACUGGUGUUUGAAGAAGCAAGAAGCACAGCAAUACAUUCAACUUCUUCUAUGUCACCCAAUGAUUCAAUUUUCCACUACGAUUAUGGUUUCCUGAACUGAAAUUAGUCAGAUGGUGCCUUGUUUUGUGGAUUUACACUGGUUGGAUUUCAACUACACCAAACUCUUGUGAAGAAAGAUCUUACAUUUCAAUCAAAGUACUGUAGUUUGUUAAAGCUUGUAACUUGGGUCAGGCUAUCAGGCUUACCAAAAUGAUCAUCAAUUCUUGCUAGGUAUGGAACAGUUUGUUCAUCCAUCAUCCCUGCAGCCCAUCGUCCCCACAGUCCACAGUACCUCGUCAUCACUGUUUUACCUAUGCUACUUAACAGAUUCAUUGUUAUAAUCAUCUAGAGUUAGACAGAAACACAAAAAAUCCCUCAAAAAUUAAAUGAGGCAACAACAUAGUUCCAACACAAUGGUCUAGAAACAAGCACUUAAGCAUCCAAUAUGGAAGAUCAGCAGCCUAAAAUUGAAAUCCUCUUCUCAGCCAUGUUAUUUUCAUCUGAUAUUUAAUCAAUAUUUGAGGUUUGGUUGCUCAGUCAAUGUUUUGCUGUUGCGGUUUUAAGAAUACUAUCUGCUGCCAAAUUCAAACUUCCCUUGUUGAUACUGCAGUAUGGUUUUGUCUACACACUUAGCACAAAUUAUAAACUUUAAGGAAAUGUGAUUACAUAAGAGACUAAAAGAAUCAGUUUGGGAUGGGAGAAUGAGUAGUCAUGCUAUCAGAAGCCGCGGGGGAGUA